UCUCUCUCAUCUUAAUUUCUUCCAGAUCUCUCAUCGUCUCUCUCCCCAUCUCUUCUUCAUGUUCUCAUUCAAACCCUAGCCUCCUCAUCUCUUCUUCAUGUUCUCAUUCAAACCCUAGGCUCCUCAUCUCCUUUGCACUAUUCCUUUACGUUCUUCAUCUGCUCCACGUCUCUUCAUCUUCUCAUUUAAUUUCUCUUCUUUCGUCAAGAAUCUUUCGACGGAGGUCUCCUUUUCUUUUUCUUAUACAAAGAAGCAACGGUAAGAGGAAAUCGGAUCCCAGUGGAGAAAAGACAGAUUUAUUAGUGGGUGAGAAAGGUAGAUAUGCUUGAUGGAGUUUCCAUUACCUGAUCUGAAAAAGUGGAGGAUGGGUUAGUUUUGGAUAGAAAUAAUAUUGAACUUGUGUCGCGGUCUUGUGCCCUUAUUAACAAGAAAUGUCAUGUCAAGAAUAAGGAUAUAUGGAAGUUCAAUGAUGGUAUCUAUGUCAGCAA